GCGGUUGUGGCGGAAUUGGCAGACGCGCUAGGUUUAGGGUCUAGUGGGGGAAACCCCGUGGGGGUUCAAGUCCUCUCGUCGGCAUCA
rnacentral:tRNA from 1 species